rnacentral:rRNA from 1 species
AGAGUUUGAUCAUGGCUCAGAUUGAACGCUGGCGGCAGGCCUAACACAUGCAAGUCGAGCGGGGUUUUCGGACCUAGCGGCGGACGGGUGAGUAAUGCGUAGGAAGCUGCCCGAUAGAGGGGGAUACCAGUUGGAAACGACUGUUAAUACCGCAUAAUGUCUACGGACCAAAGUGUGGGACCUUCGGGCCACAUGCUAUCGGAUGCGCCUACGUGGGAUUAGCUAGUUGGUGAGGUAAUGGCUCACCAAGGCGACGAUCUCUAGCUGGUUUGAGAGGAUGAUCAGCCACACUGGAACUGAGACACGGUCCAGACUCCUACGGGAGGCAGCAGUGGGGAAUUUUGGACAAUGGGCGAAAGCCUGAUCCAGCCAUGCCGCGUGCAGGAAGAAGCAUCUAUGGUGUGUAAACUGCUUUUGUACGGGAAGAAACACUCCUUCGUGAAGGAGCUUGACGGUACCGUAAGAAUAAGGAUCGGCUAACUCCGUGCCAGCAGCCGCGGUAAUACGGAGGAUCCAAGCGUUAUCCGGAAUCAUUGGGUUUAAAGGGUCCGUAGGCGGUUUGGUAAGUCAGUGGUGAAAGCCCGCAGCUCAACUGUGGAACGGCCAUUGAUACUGCCAGACUUGAAUUACAAGGAAGUAACUAGAAUAUGUAGUGUAGCGGUGAAAUGCUUAGAUAUUACAUGGAAUACCAAUUGCGAAGGCAGGUUACUACUUGUGGAUUGACGCUGAUGGACGAAAGCGUGGGGAGCGAACAGGAUUAGAUACCCUGGUAGUCCACGCCGUAAACGAUGUCUACUAGCUGUUCGUGGUCUUGUACUGUGAGUAGCGCAGCUAACGCACUAAGUAGACCGCCUGGGGAGUACGGUCGCAAGAUUAAAACUCAAAUGAAUUGACGGGGGCCCGCACAAGCGGUGGAGCAUGUGGUUUAAUUCGACGCAACGCGAAGAACCUUACCUACUCUUGACAUCUACGGAAGACUGCAGAGAUGCGGUUGUGCCUUCGGGAACCGUAAGACAGGUGCUGCAUGGCUGUCGUCAGCUCGUGUUGUGAAAUGUUGGGUUAAGUCCCGCAACGAGCGCAACCCCUAUGGUUAGUUGCCAGCACGUAAUGGUGGGGACUCUAAUCAGACUGCCUGUGCAAACAGAGAGGAAGGAGGGGACGACGUCAGGUCAUCAUGGCCCUUACGCCUAGGGCGACACACGUGCUACAAUGGUAGGUACAGAGUGCAGCGAGCUAGCAAUAGUAAGCGAAUCACAAAAAGCCUAUCACAGUUCGGAUUGGGGUCUGCAACUCGACCCU